rnacentral:rRNA from 1 species
UACGUAGGGUGCAAGCGUUAAUCGGAAUUACUGGGCGUAAAGCGUGCGCAGGCGGUUGUGCAAGACCGAUGUGAAAUCCCCGGGCUCAACCUGGGAAUGGCAUUGGUGACUGUACGGCUAGAGUGUGUCAGAGGGGGGUAGAAUUCCACGUGGUAGCAGUGAAAUGCGUAGAGAUGUGGAGGAAUACCGAUGGCGAAGGCAGCCCCCUGGGAUAACACUGACGCCUCAUGCACGAAAGCGUGGGGAGCAAACAGG